rnacentral:rRNA from 1 species
UACGUAGGGUGCGAGCGUUGUCCGGAAUUAUUGGGCGUAAAGAGCUCGUAGGUGGUUUGUCGCGUUGUUCGUGAAAACUCACAGCUUAACUGUGGGCGUGCGGGCGAUACGGGCAGACUGGAGUACUGCAGGGGAGACUGGAAUUCCUGGUGUAGCGGUGGAAUGCGCAGAUAUCAGGAGGAACACCGGUGGCGAAGGCGGGUCUCUGGGCAGUAACUGACGCUGAGGAGCGAAAAGCGUGGGGGAGCGAACAGG